rnacentral:lncRNA from 1 species
ACAAGUUUGAUUCGUACAGGGACCACUGGAUAUGCUUCAUCAUUUAUCCUAAGGUUGGAAAGGUGCUGGUGCUCGACUCCUUCCACACCGAGCCUUCGGCCUAUUCAAAAUUCCUCAGCAUCUUAGAGCUGUAAGCCUUUUCUAUGCAUGCAUACUUAUAUUGAUGAGAAUUGUAGAAUAACAUGGUGAUUCUAUUUGAGAUCACAUGGCAUUUAGGUUUUAUAAGCUACAAGGUGGAAAGUACGACACGUCCAAAAAACACGUGCCACUAGACAUCCAUUAUAACUAGCCGGUAAGUAUGUGAAUUUAUGAAUACAUAUCAUACAUGUACGUACAUAGGACAAUGUUGCAACUAAAUAACCAAUCUCCCGUUAUGUAGUGCCACAAGCAACCACCCGGAUUGGUCCUAUGUGGGUUCUACGUGUGCGAGUUCAUGAGAAUGAACGGACGAUACAUCACGAACCCUGGCAAGGUAUUAUUAGUAAUAGUCACGUAUGUAUUUAUGUCAUUAAACAUGCAAAUGUGUUAUUAUUGAGUAUAAAUAGAUGAUGUUUAUAAACUUCCUUUACAGCAAUUUCAACAAGGAAGCCCAGAGAACUUGACUGAAGGUGCAUUAUAUGGCAUAGUUGAGGACCUAUGCACAUUCAUAUUGAAAGAGGUCAUUCCCGCAGAAGGAAAAUAUCACGAUGCUUCUGGAACAUUAGCUUUGCCAGAGUUUAGAAUACUAACAGAAAUUAGUAGACUAUCUCUUAGCCGAGAUAGUUAUUAGAGCUUAAGUGAAAACUUUGAUGUAUAUAAUGUGUGAUGCAUACAUGGUUGUAAACAAGACUUUGAUGUAUAUAAAUGUAUGAUAGAAUUUAAUUCCAUGUUGCUUUUAAUAUCAAAACUACAUGUUUAUCAAUAUCAAUAUAUGUAUAUAUGUUUGUGUGUGUAAAUAUAUAUAAAUUUCAGUACUGAUUGAAAAUUUAAAAAAAGGCGGGAAAACUUCCACUGGCGGCUAAAUAAAAAAACCGCGAGUGGAAAUGCUAUUUCCAUUGGCGGUUUGCUUAAGAAAACCGCCAGUGGAAAUUAUAUUUUCACUGGCAGUUCUAGAAUAACCGCCAGUGGAAAUGGUGAUUUCCACUGGCCCCUAGCACUGGCGGCACUGAAAAAUGCCAAUGCAAACAGCUCUAGAACCGCCACUAUAGAGCCUCUAUGUACUAGUGUGAGCUUGUUGUCGAAAAACGAUUGAAAUAUUCCGAGCGUCGGUCGGUCCAUUGCUCAGCCAGUGUAGACAGUCUGGCGGUCCGCCUUCUUCCCCUGCAGCACUAUAUAAGAAGACAGGUUGUUGAGGAGUUACCACAACAUUCAUUGCCAUCGCACUGUUGUGCUGUUAAAAUUUUUAACCAAAGCCAGAGCUUUCUGGAUUGCGAUUUCCAAACACGCUCUUCGUCAUUUGAAGUUAGCUUCGUUUUAAGGAACCACAACACUUGAAAUGGCCCGAGUAAGAUCCACUGCUAGGGUGUCCCAUGAAGGAGAUGAGGCUGAAGUGAUGAGGCGAUCAUGUCUAGUUGUGUCGGAAGGAGCUAUUGCCGAAGUUGAGCAGACUAUAGUUGAGGACAAGAGUGAUGAUGAAAACGAAGAAGACGACAAUAUUCUAAACCCAUCAAAACCAAGCCAUAUUGAAUUCGGAAAAUCUAUCAUAUCAGAAGAGGACCUGGUUAUGAUGAAGAAGCUAGGCUAUAUUUUGGGGAAGAUGAGAGUAAACUUAUUCGCUUCGUCAUCUGAUAGACAAUUGCCUUGGAGGAAAGAUACAAUCUCAGUCCUCCAAUCUUCACUAUGCACUGGUGAGAUUGUAAGCACCACUCUUUCCAUGAGCUCAACCGAAGAUGCUUUUAUUGUUUCAAAGAACACCUUUGAAGGUAACAGAAGCCCCUGUACCGCUGAUUUAGCUAACAAAUCUGCAUGGUUGUUUUCUCCUCGGGAUGUUUUUUACAGAGAAACCUUCGAAAGAAGCUUCCAUCCUUCGGACUGCAUCUAGAUAUUUUUCUAGCUUCGGGUCCCUUGCUUUGCUACUUUUGUCGAUGUGACCUGAGAUGACUUGUGAGUUGGACUUGAGUAUUGCCCUUCUUAUUCUCAUUGCCUUAAGCUUUCGAAGCCCCAUGAGAAGGGCUUCGUACUGUACAAUGUUAUUUGUGUAGUUGAAGUCCAAUCUUGCUGCAUAGCAGGUUUUCAUUUUUUAUGGUGAAAUUAAAACAACAGCUGCUCCUGCGCCGAAGGUUCCCUAGGACCCAUCACAAAACACUGUCCAGGCUUCGGCGUCAUUUAUUCUCUCUUCUUCUUGAGCCCCUGGCGUCCAAUCAGCAAUGAAGUCCGCUAACGCUUGUGAUUGGAUCGAAGAUCUGUGAACGAAAUCGAUAAUGAAUUCAUUCAAUUCUGCAGCCUAUUUUCCAACUCUUCCUGUGGCUUCUCUGUUUCUCAUUAUGUCCUUGAGGGGUUGUGAAGAAGGUACUAUGAUAUGGUAUGUUUGGAAGUAAUACCGAAGCUUCCUGGAAGCCAUUAAUAUAGCAUAUAGAACCUUCUCUAACUCUGUAUAAUUCUUCUUUGAUGCACUAAGUACUUUGGAGACGAAGUACAUUGGCACUUGUUUUCUUGCCUGGACAUCCUGCUUUUCUUGCACCAGCGCUGCACUAACCGCAGCGUGGGAAGCAGCUACAUACAGUAGCAACAGAGUUCCUGACGAAGCUGGGGUUAUGGUUGUCAGUUCUAUAAAAUACUGCUUCAAUUCUUCGAAGGCUUUUUGCUGGGUUGGUCCCCAUUGAAAGACUUCGGCUGACUUCAGCACUUCGAAGAAUGGCAAAUUCCUCUCUGUUGAUCUUGAAAUAAAUCUAUUUAAUGAUGUCAGCCUUCCUGUUAACCUUUGGACACCCUUUCUUGACUUUGGUGGCUCCAUUCGACGUAUAGCUUCUAUCUUACUUGGAUUAGCUUCAAUACCCUUUGUUGAUACCAAGCAACCAAGAAAUUUGCCCUUCUUCACUCCGAAGACACAUUUUUCUGGAUUUAGUUUAAGACCAGCUCUUCUGAAGUUAGCAAAUAUUUCUUGCAAAUCAGCAAUGUGAUUUUCUUGCUUCGUGCUCUUUACUAUGAUAUCAUCAAGAUAUGUCAGCACAUUUUUGCCAAUUUGGGAGUGAAGGACUUUGGCAGUCAUCCUGCUGAAGCUUGCUCCAGCAUUCUUGAGCCCCUCGGGCAUUCGAAGGUAGCAAUAGGUCCCACUAGGGGUUAUGAAGCUUGUCUUAGGUUCAUCCUCCUUCUUCAUCCAAAUUUGAUGAUAACCUGAAUAGCAGUCCAAUAACCUCAUGAGCUCUAAAGUAGCCGCUGCAUCAACAAGAGUAUCUAUCCUUGGCAAUGGGAAUUCAUCCUUUGGGCAUGCCUUAUUGAGAUCUAUGAAGUCAAUGCACAUUCUCCAUUUUCCAUUAGCUUUUUUCACCAUCACAGCGUUGGCCAGCCACUCUGGGUAUGUUAUUUCUCUAAUAACUCCGGCACUCAGAAGCCUUUUGACUUUGUUCCAUGCUCCUUCGGCUUUAUCAUCGGACAUUUUCUGAAGCCUCUCCUUUCUCGGCCUGAUGGCCGGGUCUACAUUGAGUGAAUGCUCAAUGAUAUCUCUGUUGACACCACAAAGGUAAUUGGCUGACCAGGCAAAGACAACCUUGUUAUUGAACAGAAAUCUCAACAAAGUCUUCUCCUGUUCAUCAGAUAAGUGGGAUCCCAACAACACCUUCUGCUCGGCUAUGUCUUCGCACAAAAACAUGGGCUUUGGUUGAUCUGCUGAAGCAGCCUUGUCUCUUCUUUGUUUAUAUUGUUGAUGAACUUCAACUUCAUCUAUGUUAUGGAUGGCCUUCAAAUCUAUCUAGCUACCUUCGGCUCUCCUGGUAGCCUCUUGGCUUCCAUGCACAGCGAUAGGCCCUUGGUCAGAAGGUAUCUUCAUGCAAAGAUAUGCUGGGUGGAGUAUUGCUUUGAAGGCAUUUAGCGUCCCUCAACCAAUGAUUGCAUUGUAGGGAUAAUCCAUAUCGAUAAUGUCGAAGACAACCUGUUCUGUCCUUGAAUUGUGAACAUAGCUGAAGGUGAUCGGCAUAGUUAUCUUGCCGAGCACCACAAUCUGUCUUCCUCUGAAGCCGCAGAGGGGGUGUGUUGCAUCAUGUAUCUUGUCAUCCGGCUCUUGCAUUUGCCUAAAAGCCUUUGCAAAGAUGAUGUCUGCCGCACUGCCUGUGUCCACUAGGAUAUUAUGGACCAGGAACCCCUUGAUGACACAAGAUAUGACCAUUGCAUCAUUGUGAGGAUAAUCCUUGAGCUGAAGGUCUUCCUGGGAGAAGGUGAUUGGUAUAUGAGACCAUUUGGACUUGAUGAAGGGUCCUUACACUCCAACAUGUUGUACCCUUCUCUGUGCUUCCUUCUUCUGCUUCUUAUUGGCUGGUUCAAAACUUGAGCCGGCUGUGAUUGGGAGCACCAGCUUCGUAGCCAAAGGUGCCAUAGCUUGGUUACCUUGCGAAGCCAUUGUCGCAAUUGUGGAAGUGAGUUCAUCGGAGGUGGGCGCCAAUGUUGGUCACUUGUUCUCAAAUGUUGUGUAUUAAGAACAAGGCAACAUAAUUGUUAAUUAUUACAGACCUUCGUCUUCCGAAGUAUUAUCUCCUCAUGAGCAUAAUGCUUUAGUAGACGAAGGUCAAGAAGGACAUACCUUCAUCAUUUAAUACGUGAAUAGGAGUACGAAAGAAUGAACAUGAUAACUGCAUCUCAUUAACUCAUUUAUUCUUGCAUUCCAUAAAACAUAAAUGAAUAUCAACAAUGGUAAUAUUACAUUGAUACCUUCGGCUUGCCCGAAGAUGCGGGUGCGAGAAAGUGAAUACAAUCCAGCGUCAACAGUACGGGGUUACUGUUCAUCUAUUUAUAGGCACGGGACGUAGCCCGGGUAAAAUUACAUCUGUACCCUUAAACGCUUAUUUACAAGCAAAAAAAGCUAAUAAGGUCUAUUUAGUCUUUUAUUUCUUUGCUUGGUUCGAGUCAAAGCUAUUGAGCUUUGGCAUUCUGCAACGUUGGUUGUACACAAAGUCUUCGUUUUGAGAAGCAAAGCCGAGGUUGAUGAUAGCUUCGGCGAGCCUUUGUAUCAUCUUGCCGAAGGUAUUUUUUUCUUGAGGACCUUCGGUGAAGAAGACCCCCCAACAGGACCCUUCCCAAGACUACUCACUUUUGCGGUAGCUAUGUUAUACACAACAAAAAUUAGAAGUAUUUGUACAAAAACGAUGAGUUAGAUGCAUAUUCUUGCCAAUCUAGCCUUAUGGUGCUUUAAGUUUCUUCUAGGGCCACCUAAAGCCAUACCUCCCAUACAAACUAAAACCAUCAUAGAGAAGUGUUUGAAUAAAUUGUGAUCACUAUAUUUUGUAAUAUGCGACUCGUUUGGUUUGUUGAUGAUAUUUGUGAUAUGCUAUUUAUUCCUUUUCAUAUUUUCUGUAUCUUUACAAUGAUGCUAUGAUCAAUACUAGAAGAUCAUUGACACCGUCUAUACUUAAUAAAAAUAGGACAGUUGCAGUUGUACCUCCCUUUCCUUUAGAGUCUCUAUAAGUACACAUUUCACUUGUCACACCUAUAAAUGCGGGACACCUAAUCUACAGUUCGAGUUUCAUGUAGUUUCGUGUUAUUUGAUGACGUUGAAGUCAUUGGCUUACCAAAAAUGAAGAGUGUCGUUGCGAGGAUAAUUGUUAAGUUCCCUAGACACUAUGAUAGCUAACAUUUUAUUCUACAAGACAUCAUUGUGAGUCGCUUCAUCAAACAUUAAAAUAAUGUCAAUAUAGACAUGUAAUUCUCUGACUAAUACGACCUGCAUUCUAAAAUGUCUAGGGAUCAAAUCGAAGCAAUUUCAUAACACGAUAAUGUCCAAUGAUUCGACGCCUUACUCCAAAAAGGAUGUACAUAUACAUUGCAUGGAGUGGCGUUCUGUCUAAACUCGCGGGGCGUGGCAAUUUUGGAAUUUUGGACAUAGUCUAUAAUUGACAUUAGCAACACAUGCUAAUGUGGGGCCAUUCAACUUGCCAAUUCAAUUCCCUCCAUAUCCUAAACAUCUUAUGACAUUUCAUGAGGUGGUCCAACAACCUCAUAAGACGUUUGUAAGUAACGACCAAUACUUCUAUAUAGUUUAUACUUGUACUGACUGCACCCUUUAAAUUAUUCAAAUUUAAUUAACCCCAUGUGAAUUGCUUAGACUUAUUGGCAUAUUUAUUUAUUUGACAGCAUUAGAGCAUGUCGGUGGAAGGCCAUACAUAGAGGCCAUACUAAUGGAUUCCAGGCCACUGAUUCAUAACUACAAUAUUUUUUAAAACAUUGAAAAUUUGUUAGGUAUUAUUCAAACAAUUAAGCUUUAUUUAUAGGUGGGAUAUAAUCAUCAUGGGGAUAUUUACUGACCUCUUACAAUGAAAUGCUCUACGAUGGGUGUUAGCUAGAGACAACAAGAGCAUAAUUAUUGGAACUAUGUUGCGGCGUAACAAGAUACACAAUAAUUUCUCUUUUGCCUAAAAUAUUCUGACAUGUACUUAAUUUUCAUGCUUAUUAAUUCUAUAAUUCUAUACUAUAACAAUAGGAUGCUUGCAAACUUCAGACCACAUCACCAUUCAUUUAAGCCCAGAUCAUACAACACAUUCGACAAAAUGUUAGUAUCCCUAUUUUUGUUUGUCUUUGUGUUCAAUGGUACAUUCGGAGAAGCAUGAAAAGAAUGGGGAAAGAGAGUGAAAUAGGAUACUGCUUUUGACUCCAAUGUAUUUUUGCUUUGCUCCUUCUAGAACAAAAAUAAGUAGAGCUUUUAGAAUGGAGUCACAAAAAAGUGCCUUAAACCUAAAAUGUUGUGGUGCAAGUAAAACAACUUGUUUUAGAAGGAGCAAAGCAAAAAUACAUUGGGAGUCAAAAGCAGUAUUCUAUUUCACUCUCUCCUCCUUCUUUUCAUGUUUCUCUGAAUGUACUAUUAAACACAAAGACAAACAAAAAUAAGGGUACUAACAUUCUGUCGAAUAUGUUGUAUGAUCUAGGCUGAAAUAAACGGUGAUGUGGUCCGAGGUUUGCAAGCAUCCUAUUGUUAUAGUAUAGAAUUAUAGAAUUAAUAAGCAUUAAAAUUAAGUACAUGUCAAAAUAUUUUAGGUAAAGGAUAAAUUAAUGUGUAUCUUGUUACAACAUACUAUAGUUCCAAUAAUUAUGUUUUUGUUUUCUCUAGCUAACACCUAUCGUAGAGCUUUUCAUUGCAAGAGGUCAGUAAAUAUCCCCACAACGAUUAUAUCCCACCUAUAAAUAAAGCUUUGAUUGUUUGAAUAAUACCUAACAAAUUUUCAAUAUUUUAAAAAAGAAUGUAGUUAUGAAUCAGUGACCUGGAAUCCAUUAGUAUGACCUCUCUGUAGGUUUUCCACAGAAAUUCUCUAAUGACGCCAAAUAUAUAAUUAUGCUAAUAACGACUGAGCAAUUCACAUGAGGUUAGUUAAAUUUUAUUAAUUUAAAGGGUUAAGUUGGUACAAGUAUAAACUAUAUGGAAGGACUGGUCGUUACCUACAAACGUCUUAAGAGAUUAUUGGACCACCUCAUGAAAUGGUAUAAGAUAUUUAGGAUAUGGAGAGAAUUGAAUUGGCAUGUUGAAUAGCUCCACAUUAGUAUGUGUUCGCAAGGUCAAUUCUAGACUAUGUCCAAAAUUCCAAAAUUACCACGCCCACAGUUUAGACAAAACGCCAUUCCAUGCAAUGUAUAUGUACAUCUUUGUUGGAGUAAGGCAUCGAAUCAUUGGACAUUAUCAUGGUAUGAAAUUGCUUCGAUUCUUGACCCCUAUACAUUUUAGAAUGAAGGUCAUAUGAGUCAGAGAAUUACAUGGCUAUAUUGACUUUAUUUUAAUGUUUGAUGAAGCAACUCACAGCGAUGUCCUAUAGAAUGAAAUGUUAGCUAUCAUAGCGUCUAGGGAACAUAACAACUAUCCUCACAACAACACUCUUUAUUUUUGGAAAGCCAAUGACUUCAAUGUCAUCAAAUAACAUGAAACUACAAGAAACACAGACUUUUGAUUAGGUGGCCCAUGCAUAAAGGUGCGACAUGUGAAAUGUGUACUUAUGGAGACUCUAAAAGGAAGGGAGGUAUGACUGCAACCGUCCUAUUUUGGUUAAGUACAGAUGGUGACAUUGAUCUUUUAGUAUUGAUCAUAGCAUCAUUAUAAAGGUACAGAAAAAUAAGAAAGGAAUAAAUAGGAUAUCAAAAAUAUCAUCAACAAACCAAACGAGUUGCAUAUUAUAAAAUAUAGUGAUCACAAUUUAUUUAAACAAUUUGCUACGGUUGUUUUAGUGUGUAUGGGGAGUACUGCAUUAGGUGGCGCUAGAAGAAACUUAAAGCACCAUAAAGUAAGAUUGGUAGGUAGAUGCAUUUAACUCAUUGUUUUUGUACAAAUACCUAUAAAUUUUGUUGUGCAUAGCAUAGCUACCGCAAAAGUGAGUAGUCUUGGGAAUGCUCCCUUAUAACAGGGGAAGAGGAAAGACUCAGAAAUAAAUAUUGUGAUAAUAUGUUUGUGGAUUUGAGCAUAUGGAGAACGAAGCAAAAAAUAACAAUAAAAAUCUUGCAAAUUCAUGCUCUUGUUAUCGUCGCUAAAAUCACGGUUACACCUACACGAUAUUAGCACAGAAUAGAAAAUAUAAAAGGAAUUUGUAGAACAUCCCAAUGCAGUCAAGUAAAAUAGGUUACCACCUACACGAUUGAUUUUAUGUCAUGAAGCUCUAGAAUUUUUCUAUGAAGCACAGGAUUCUAUCGAAGAGCACAAGUGAAAUGGGAAAAAAUAGGUACUUGCAGUACUGCUUCUCUACCACUUUUAUUUUCGUAGUGUUCAACCCUAAAACACUAAAAUCAUGGAUAUAAACUACUUACUAUAGACAAGAAUAAAAUUUGCAAACAUUCUAGGUUGGUACAAAAACGAUCCUAAUGCAGUAUUGGAAUAGGGUACCUCCUUUACGACUGAUGUGGUCUCACGGAGUAGGAUCCUCGGGCACCAAAAUCAAAUAGAAACAGGUUACUUGAGCCUAUAUAGAAAGAUAGAGACAUCACUAAUGAUGAAUACAAUAACUCUCAACUCGGAACAAUUAAACCAGUUUCCAGGUGAACAUUAAGUGAUCAGUUUAAGGAUCUUGCAUGGAAAAUCUAACUGCUACUGCAGUUUAACAUCUAGGAAAAUCUAACUGCUAUUUUAGUUUAACAUCUAGGACAAUGAGAUUCCUUGCAUCUUGAUGUUGCUAGCUGCUAAGUGCUUGUUAUUUCAGUUUAACAUAUUGAAAGAACCAGCAAAGAUCAUGAGAUCCCAAAUUAGGUAAAAAUGGAACAUAUGAAUAAGAGUAACUUGACACAUCUCAGCCAAAAAAUUAAAACCCUAAUAAAUCUACUUUGAUCUAGAACCGAGUGAUGUCUAGUUGCAGUCCCCAACGAGAUUAAUCUCUGACCCCUGAUACUUUUAUAUUUCUAGAGAGAUUGGUAUUCUGUUUCAUAUAUGAACCAUCAUGAUUUUCAAUUAACAGACAUCUCUCAUAGACUUGUACCAUGAACCAUAAAUGAAAGAGGCGGACAUCGUUCUACCCCUCACGUGCUACAAACCACAUCCAUGUUAACCAAAUGGUGUUACAACUUGCAAGGUUAAUUUCCCGUUUCCAUAGAAAGACACUAAAUUAAGUAUUAACUGGAAACUACAAGCACAUAUAGGAAGUUACUCUUAUUAGAUCAGUUACAUUCAUCUGCUUGUUUUCCAUGUGUGAAAUAUCUAGUGCCCCAAUGUGACUUUAUAUGUCUAAGAAUGUAAGAAGUAUAUUAAUUUUGAAAUACACUAACAAUAGUCAUAACUGAAAACACAGAAAACACACUGCUAGACACACAAAAUAGGAAGCCAAGUACGUACACAAGAACUAUGUAGAGUCUUGACAAAGUGGUUUUGUCAUGUAAUCAGUAUUUAGCAAUUAUUUUUGUACACAGAAUAGGAAGGCACCAAUUUGAACACACAAGAUUCUGAUCUGGAAUAGCUGGAAGCCUGCAGACCAUAGAUAUGACAAAUAAAAUCCACACAAAAAUUCUAGAUGUAAGUUGUAUCAUUUUUAGGCAAAACAUAUGAAACAAUCAAGGCAAUGGUCUGAAAGGUGUAGUUUCUAUGCUAUUAUUGAAAGGUCAGAGGAAUCAUUGUUAUUUGGUAUUUUCUAAGAUGGAUUCAUUUAUAUUUUUUUAUAAUGAAUUCAUAUACGCUACAUAGUAUUGGUUUCUUUUAGUUUUGGGUAUUUUUUAUUAUGAAUUCCUAGUGAGACUUUCUUGUGCAUUGGCUUACUAUGUUAGCUCUUUCUACUCUUUCGCGCUCAAUAAAAGAUUGUACAUAAUAGUAUGAUAGGGAUUGGCGAUUGAUGACAGUACAAGAUUUUAUUGUUUUGCAAAAAAACUAAAGUGAUUGACCACCAUCUUAACCCAGUUUCCAGGUGAACAUUAAAUGAGGCUCACCUCCUUGGAGGAGACUGAAGAUGAAGCUCAAACUUUUUACCUUUAUCAGUGGGAGUUUCCUGCAACUGUUAAAUUAGAAAGAGUGAGUUGUAUGUAAACAUAUGUAAGAGUCUACCUAAAUGACAUGAUGUUGGUUCUAGCUAAGAUAUGUGCACUAAGAUAUGAAACCUUAUAGUUCUAAUGUUAGUCAUGUACUAUCUAAUAGUGUAAUGAUAUGUUCAGCUAGGGAUUUAGGAAUUUUGCAAAGGAUUGUAAAAAGAACAAAUAAUUGAAUAAAAGGAUGCAUUAACUUUGUGACAAAAAACAAUCCCUUCUCUCACAACAAGUAUUCUUCCACCAGUUUGAGUGAAGCGACUUCGCGACAAGUUGGGCUAUAGUUCUAUCAAACGAAAUAACCAAGGGAAACACUAACAUGUUAAUGUCAAGUGGGAUCUGCACCUUAGGUGUGCUAAGGAUAAAUAGAAACUGAAAUGAACGACAAGCAUGCUUUGCUAUUUCUGAUUUGCAUAUCAUUAUGUAAGGAGAUAUGUAACAAAUAUAUAGAACACCCAUAAAUAGAAACUAAAAUGAACACACCAAUUCAAUGAAAAAAGGUUUCUUAGUAUGAAAACAUGCCACCAACUAAAUUUUUUAAAAAUAAAUAGAAUUGACUGGACUGUACUACCAUCAUUAUUUCCAUGUGACUAGUGCACUCAGCGUGAUAAUCUCAUUAGUUAUUGGCAAUGUCAAUCAUCAGACCUAGAAAAGCACACUAAGAUAACAAUUUUUCAUAUGACCAUGAUCAUGUUGCAGACGAAAUCAAGUGCUAAAAUUGUGGAUCCACAUGAUGUAACAAAAGAAGGGCUACAAAUUUCAUAUAAGCCAAAAUUUGAACUCGCAUUGGUGCAUUUUAGUUGUUAUAAAAUGAGACUUAUUGUAAAAAGGGACAAUGUUGACGCACCUUAUGAGUUGAGCAGAUCUUCGGCAAAUGGAAUGACAGGGAAGAUGCGUUGAGAGUGGGGGUGGGUUGAGAAAAACUGGUCCAUCCUUUUAAUAGGAGUCACAACGAUACCCAUGGGGAAGAUGUUGGGUGGAAGGUUGGGCCGAAUUAGGAAUGCGCGCAUGGAUGGGGGUGCGGAUAGGGGCAUGGUGCAUGCGCAAGUUACCUACUAUGGAAGGGGGCCGCCUACUAUGGAAGCUCCACCUGUGGCACACUAACGAUGUGUAAGGAUUGAAGGUCGCCUCCAUCUAUGGAAGGAGACGCUGAGGUUGGAAGGAGGCGUGCUUCGGAGGCUGGGUCCAU